rnacentral:rRNA from 1 species
GGUUGAUCCUGCCAGUAGUCAUAUGCUCAUUUCGAAGACUAAGCCAUGCAAAUCUAAGUAUAAGUUGUAUACAACGAAACUGCGAAUAGCUCAUUAAAACAAUUAUCGUUUAUGUGGGUAAUUUCUACACGGAUAACUGUGGUAAUUCUGGAGCUAAUACGUGACUCAACAUCCAUUAGGAUGUCACUUACUAGAUAAGAACCAAUUGUGCUUGCACAACUCUGGUGAUCCAUAAUAAGGUCGUGAAUCGUAUGGUGUAUGCCGACGAUAUUCCACCUAAGUUUUUGACUUAU